rnacentral:rRNA from 1 species
GUGAACGCUGGCGGUAGGCCUAACACAUGCAAGUCGAACGGCAGCACAGUAAGAGCUUGCUCUUACGGGUGGCGAGUGGCGGACGGGUGAGGAAUACAUCGGAAUCUACUUUUUCGUGGGGGAUAACGUAGGGAAACUUACGCUAAUACCGCAUACGACCUACGGGUGAAAGCAGGGGAUCUUCGGACCUUGCGCGAUUGAAUGAGCCGAUGUCGGAUUAGCUAGUUGGCGGGGUAAAGGCCCACCAAGGCGACGAUCCGUAGCUGGUCUGAGAGGAUGAUCAGCCACACUGGAACUGAGACACGGUCCAGACUCCUACGGGAGGCAGCAGUGGGGAAUAUUGGACAAUGGGCGCAAGCCUGAUCCAGCCAUACCGCGUGGGUGAAGAAGGCCUUCGGGUUGUAAAGCCCUUUUGUUGGGAAAGAAAAGCAGCAGGUUAAUACCCCGCUGUUCUGACGGUACCCAAAGAAUAAGCCCCGGCUAACUUCGUG